UGCGCACGCGCAGAGCGCCAGCUCCUGGUAUUUUUAGACGAGUCUGCUGUCGCCCUGUUCAAAUUGUGUCAGGACGUUGGACGUGGAGGAUUAGAGUGUUCGUUUGGGGAAGAACAGUGAACCUGUCUUCGUCCUUAGCUUCUACAGGAAGGCGUGCGUUGGGCCUUUCUCUCAUUGAGUGAGGCGUCGACGGCCUGUGGAACUGAGUUUCUGGCAAGGGAUACUCGUAGAAGAGUUAGCUGCCGGCCGAGAUGUCCAGCUACGUGAACGACCUGUGGCCGGGUUCGCCGCCCAAGGCCUCGCCUUCGUCCUCGCGGUCGGGCCCGUGCAGCCGGCCGUCGUCGGCCUCCGGGAGCCGCUCUUCGUCCCGUUCCAGCGUCUCGAGCCGGUCGUGGUCCCGGAGCCGCAGCCCGCCCGGGCGGAGGAGCCGCUCCAGGUCUCGCUCCCGAAGGCGCCACCAGAGGAGGUACCGGCGCUACUCGCGCUCUUACUCGCGGAGCCACUCGCGUUCCCGCAGCCGCCGGUAUCGGGAGAGGCACUCCGGCUCCACCCGGACGUCCUACCGGUCCCGCAGCCGCUCCCGCGGCCGCUUGUAUUACCGUAGGGCCUACGGCAUCGCGCGAGGCCGCCGCUACUACGGCUUCGGCCGCACCGUCUACCCCGAGGAGCGCAGAAGCUGGAGGGGGCGAUCCCGGAGCAGGUCGCGAAGCCCAACCCCCUUUCGCUUGAGCGAGAAAGAUCGAAUGGAGCUGUUAGAAAUAGCCAAAGCCAAUGCAGCAAAAGCGUUAGGAACAGCCAACUUUGACUUGCCAGCUAGUCUCAGAAGUGUUCCUGUAUCUAAAGAAAGAAACCAGGAAACAGGUGUACUGAAUAAUGGUGCAAAGUCUGAGAAAUCAUGAAUGUGGUCUCCAGACAUUGAUGAAGAAAGUCUGUUGGUAAUUGAUACAUGCGCAAAAGCAUCAGAGGUUAAACUAAUUUGAAGUCUAUGUUGACACACUGAAAGCUUAGUGUUUUGUUGGUAGAUUCCGAUGCAUGCUAGAAUUUGGGACAAGCACCAUUUGGAUAAGAUACUAAAGACAAUUUUUAAAUGAAAGUGUACUUUGUAAUGGCGGGGCAUCUGAUACAGAUGUCCCUUUGAUAAUAUAUGCAAUAUAUUCCAGAUGUUUUGAGAGAUUACAGAAGAAGAGGCCUGCUUCAUUUGCAGAUAAGUUUAUUAUAAUUCUCCAGAAAUGUGCAGCAUAAAAUGCAUAGCUUUAAAGGUUUAUAAUAAUUAGGAAUUGAUACAUUCAGUUAACAUGAGAACGAUGGGUUAUCUAUCAUGCAGACCCAGAUGUGGGUUUGCCUAAGCAUUAGUGGUGGACAAAUAAGAGUUGAGUUGAUUUUUCAGGUGAUUAGGUACCCAACUGGAUGGGCAAAUGCCUUAGUUCUUUUGAAACUAGGUAUUUUUUUGGUAUAAUUUUAUUUUCACAGUUACUUGAAUUUAGAUCAGAGGGAUACAUACAAUACUGCUUUAUGGAGAAAGGUAUCUUAAAUCAUUGAAUCAAUUUUAUGGGAAAAACUUAACAAAAGUACUAUGUUAUUUUAGGAUGUUGACUGGUUAGAUCAAACUUGAUUUAUGUCUCUACAAGUAAAUUCAUAAUACAAUUGGACUACUUUUUAUACCUACAAGGGUAUGACUUCUAAAAUUUACUUUCUUUUACCUGUCUAGCUAUCGGACAAGUUAACAGAAGAUGGAACAAAAAAUGCCAAUGAAAAGUCUUAUCAGCAAAGAAGCAUCACUUUUAGCUCUAAUAAUUCUGUAGCAAAGCCUAUGCUUCAGAAAUCAGCUAAAGCUAUUGCUGAAGAGAAUUCUUCAGGAUCCCCAAAAAUAGAUAAGAAGAAAAGUCCAUAUGGACUGUGGAUACCUGUCUAAAAAAAGCCAGCUGCUAAGGUUGCCUGAAAUGCACUUUUUUUUGCAAGUUUCUGUUUCUAGCAUUAUUCCAUUCUUGUGAACCAUUUAGUGGUGGUGUUGCAAUUACAAAUGACAACACAAAAAUAUGUAAAUACUUAAAAUUUAAAUAAUGAUUUAGAUUUCUCUUGCAGAUGGGAGAUAGCACAAAUGGACCACAGGUUACACACAGGUGGGAUUCUUGUAUAUUUACACUUGUAAAUAUUUUAUAUAAUAUGGAUCUGUUAUGUAGAAGUGAGAUUUUUAAAAGCAAACAGUAAUUGAACUGUUUGUGUUGUAAACAUUUUGUUAAUAAAUUUUUAAAAAUUA